CAGCCGCCGCGGGAAUACGUAGGGUCCGAGCGUUGUCCGGAAUUAUUGGGCGUAAAGGGCUCGUAGGCGGUUUGUCGCGUCGGGAGUGAAAACCAGCAGCUUAACUGCUGGCCUGCUUUCGAUACGGGCAGACUUGAGGCAUUCAGGGGAGAACGGAAUUCCUGGUGUAGCGGUGAAAUGCGCAGAUAUCAGGAGGAACACCGGUGGCGAAGGCGGUUCUCUGGGAAUGUUCUGACGCUGAGGAGCGAAAGUGUGGGGAGCGAACAGGAUUAGAUACCCCUGUAGUCCCUGUCUCUUAACA
rnacentral:rRNA from 1 species